CCUACGGGAGGCAGCAGUGAGGAAUAUUGGUCAAUGGACGAGAGCCUGAACCAGCCAAGCAGCGUGAAGGAUGACUGCCCUAUGGGUGGUAAACCUCUUUUACAAAGGAAUAAAACGAGGCAUGUGUGCCCUCCUGCAUGUACUUUACGAAUAAGGAACGGCUAAUUCCGUGCCAGCAGCCGCGGUAAUACGGAGGGCCCGAGCGUUAUGCGGAUUGAUUGGGCUUAAAGGGAGCGUAGGUGGGUUGUUCAGUCAGCUGUGAAAGUUCGCGGCUCAACCGUGGAAUUGCAAUUGAUACUGGCAGUCUUGAGUGCAGGUGAGGUCGGCGGAAUUCGUGGUGUAGCGGUGAAAUGCAUAGAUAUCACGAGGAACCCCGAUUGCGAAGGCAGCUUACUGAACUGAGACUGACGUUGAGGCUCGAAGGUGUGGGUAUCAAACAGGAUUAGAUACCCCUGUAGUC
rnacentral:rRNA from 1 species